CACACCGCCCGUCACACCAUGGGAGUUGGCUUUACCCGAAGGCGGUGCGCUAACCAGCAAUGGAGGCAGCCGACCACGGUAGGGUACAGCGACGUGGGGUGAA
rnacentral:rRNA from 1 species